GACGAACGCUGGAGGCGUGCUUAACACAUGCAAGUCGAACGGAAAGGCCCUGCUUUUGUGGGGUGCUCGAGUGGCGAACGGGUGAGUAACACGUGAGUAACCUGCCCUUGACUUUGGGAUAACUUCAGGAAACUGGGGCUAAUACCGGAUAGGAGCUCCUGCUGCAUGGUGGGGGGUGGAAAGUUUCGGCGGUUGGGGAUGGACUCGCGGCUUAUCAGCUUGUUGGUGGGGUAGUGGCUUACCAAGGCUUUGACGGGUAGCCGGCCUGAGAGGGUGACCGGCCACAUUGGGACUGAGAUACGGCCCAGACUCCUACGGGAGGCAGCAGUGGGGAAUAUUGCACAAUGGGCGGAAGCCUGAUGCAGCAACGCCGCGUGCGGGAUGACGGCCUUCGGGUUGUAAACCGCUUUCGCCUGUGACGAAGCGUGAGUGACGGUAAUGGGUAAAGAAGCACCGGCUAACUACGUGCCAGCAGCCGCCGUAACAC
rnacentral:rRNA from 1 species